GACAGAGGGUGCAAACGUUGCUCGGAAUCACUGGGCGUAAAGGGCGUGUAGGCGGGAAGGAAAGUCAGAUGUGAAAUCCCCAGGCUCAACCUGGGAACUGCAUUUGAAACUCCCUUUCUUGAGUACCGGAGAGGAAAGUGGAAUUCCUGGUGUAGCGGUGAAAUGCGCAGAUAUCAGGAGGAACACCAAUGGCGAAGGCAGCUCGCUGGGACGGUACUGACGCUGAGACGCGAAAGCGUGGGGAGCAAACAGG
rnacentral:rRNA from 1 species